UAUUUUAGCGCCAGAACCAGUUUGGUUGACGAGGUUGGUAACUAUCGAAUCUUCGGCGGAUGUUACCACGGCUACUAGUCGUAAGGUAUAUGACAAAAAAGUAAAAUAAAGAUUACAACAAAACAUAUAUCAA
rnacentral:ncRNA from 1 species